CCUACGGGAGGCUGCAGUGGGGAAUUUUGGACAAUGGGGGCAACCCUGAUCCAGCCAUUCCGCGUGAGUGAAGAAGGCCUUCGGGUUGUAAAGCUCUUUCGGCAGGAACGAAACGGCGGGCUCUAACAUAGCCUGCUAAUGACGGUACCUGAAGAAGAAGCACCGGCUAACUACGUGCCAGCAGCCGCGGUAAUACGUAGGGAGCGAGCGUUAAUCGGAAGUACUGGGCGUAAAGCGUGCGCCGGCGGUUAAAUCCCCGGGCUUAACCUGGGAACUGCGUUUGUGACUGCAAGACUUGAGUGCGGCAGAGGGGGGUGGAAUUCCACGUGUAGCAGUGAAAUGCGUAGAGAUGUGGAGGAACACCGAUGGCGAAGGCAGCCCCCUGGGUCGACACUGACGCUCAUGCACGAAAGCGUGGGUAGCAAACAGGAUUAGAUACCCCAGUAGUC
rnacentral:rRNA from 1 species